UCGCGACACUUCUUUCGUCCGUGACCGUACGCCGAUUACCUUUAGGUCUAGUUAUAAAAUAACACAGAUAAGACCAAGUCCUUUUCCCCCUUUUGCCGCUCUAAAUCCGACUUUCAGCUCUUGAAAUCAUGGAUCAAUUCGCAUUAAGGAAAGGAGGGAGAUAAUUCUUGUGGAGAGGCCACGGCGUCUUCCAACGUACCGAGUACUGAGAAAGAGUACGUCCCCCUCCAGCUCCUUCUGUCCCCCUCGGCCUCCAGCGACGUAUUCAGCGUCCUCAAGCCCUCUCCUUCACUCAAGAAAUUCGGAAGGAGUGCUGCCGUCACCGUCGAUGGAGAGAGAGAACCCGCCUCGAUCUAUCCGUGAGAAAGCGCAGUUUACCUUUCACGAAGAGGGCGAUGUAGGGGAGACUCGCGUAAACCCCCUGGAAGCCCUCAGGGCAGAAAAUGGUUAUCCGAUUGAGUAUCGCCAAGUCGGUUUACAAACGACGAAAUCUUGGGUCGCCUUAUCGAAGAACGACCCUUAUUAUGCGAGCGAUCCCGAGACAGAUUCAGAAGAAAAUAAAGUUUUCGCAAAACGUAGCAAACGUUGGUCCUUCUGUUAUGGACAAGAAAAUGCGACUGUUUUGUUUCAAAAAGAACACAAAAGGGAAGACUUUAGAAGAAAAUUCUGGUUGCUAGAAUCUUGGUACCAUCUCGUACCGCGAAUGAAAAGUCACGAGAAUUUGUGGUUGAAAAGAGUCAAGUUUAGUAAAUAAUAUACGUUUUUUUUUAAGGCGUUUAUGUCUCCAUGGAAAAGAAUGUGUUCUUAGAGUAUAAGUUAAGAAUCUAGAUAUUAAUGAGAAGUGUAAUAUUUUGUGUUUAUUUUGGUUAGCGGAACACCAGUGAUGUACAUACAAGUACGUGUUUCACAUAUAAACAAACAUGCAUAUAAAUUAAUAUGUAUGCAUUCUCUCUCUUUCUUCUUCUUCUUUUCUUCUUCUUCUUCUUCUUCUUCUUCUUCUGCUUCUUCUUCUUUCAUAAAUUGGAGAAUCUUAAAAAAUAUUCAGUACAAACUUUUCAUGGCUUAAACCAAAACUAGAACUACCAUCAUAUCACAAAGCUUAAAACAACAGAGGCAUAAAAAAACUUUAAGUCUCCAACUCAGAAAAAAGUUUAUUAUGGUUACUGCGCAUUAGUUUGUAUUGUCUUCUAUUCUUAUGCUUAUUCUUUAUUAUCAAUGUUAUCAUCAUUCUCCUUCUUCUUUUUCUUCUCCUUUCUACCUGCACUGAUGCAUGUCCAAAAUGUGGAAAACGUAUUACAAAUUUGUAUAGAGUAGAUUAGGGAUAUACUAUAGAUGUUACAUCAUAUAAUUUUACAUGUGUAGUUUAUAGAUAAAAUUGCAUGUAUAUAUUUGUGAAUACGAAAUAACUUUAAUCAUUUAAAUAUAUUUUUAAAGAAAAAAAUAUCUAUAUUGUGAGAACUGUACGAAUAAGUGAGUCUGAGCUGAAAUGCAGCUUGGAUGUAGUGACUAAAAUAAGGAAUAGUUUAGAAAACGGGAUACUGAGAUAUCCUUUAAAAUGUUCAGGUUAUUCCAUAACGGCAUUUAUAGAGAAGAGUUGACAUUAGUCUAUGGUUUAAGUAUGGAUAAAUAGAUACGUAUAUAUGUACCAAAUUCCCCAGGAUAAUCUGGAAAUGUAUGUAGACAUUUCAUUCUUUAUUUUUAAUUUGACGGCGAUGUUGGACUGAUCGACGAGAAAGAGACAAGUCCAAAGUUUACAAGAAUGUACGAAGAUAAACUACCUCGAAAUGUUUGGUGCUGAUUUCCUCUCCCUUGUGAAUUACUGGAAUUUUAAAUAGUGGUUAUGAAGUCAUGUACCAAAUAUUUGAGACGUACGGAAUGUAUCGUAGAUAGCUUAGGGAAUGUGUGUAUUGGGAAUGGCUGUAGAUUAGCAUUAAGGAUAAGGUGCUAAGGCCGUUCACCUUUGACACUCCACUACUUAGAAGCUCUGUGGCAGGUGGUGAAAAAACACCCACAUAUACCAAGCCAAGUGAAAAUUGGCUGAACUUUUAUUAAGUAUUAGAUAUUAUACGUACUGUACUUAGUCAUGAUGUGCUUCUCCGCUUCAUUAUGGGUUUGAGGGCACGUUUGUGCGUCGCAGCACACACAAACAGCAGAACAUUUUUCUUUAAGGAUUAUGUUUUAGCCUUUUACAAUAAUCGUACAAAGUAUGAAGAAAAUCACCAAAGCGAAUUUCAUUUUGUAAACAAUCAAGUUGAUCAUUUAUUCCGUCUGCUUAUUAAAAAAAAAAAAA
rnacentral:lncRNA from 1 species